rnacentral:rRNA from 1 species
UACGUAGGGUGCAAGCGUUAAUCGGAAUUACUGGGCGUAAAGCGUGCGCAGGCGGUUGUGCAAGACAGAUGUGAAAUCCCCGGGCUCAACCUGGGAAUUGCAUUUGUGACUGCACGGCUAGAGUGUGUCAGAGGGGGGUAGAAUUCCACGUGUAGCAGUGAAAUGCGUAGAGAUGUGGAGGAAUACCGAUGGCGAAGGCAGCCCCCUGGGAUAACACUGACACUCAUGCACGAAAGCGUGGGGAGCAAACAGG